GUCAUCACUUCAGCAGCACAUAUACUAAAAUUUGAAUGAUACAAGAUUAGCAUGCCCCUGCGUAAGGAUAAACAUGCAAAUUCAAGAAGCAUUCAUAUUUGUA
rnacentral:snRNA from 1 species